rnacentral:tRNA from 1 species
GGGACCUUAGCUCAGUUGGUAGAGCAAUGGACUGAAAAUCCAUGUGUCCCUGGUUCGAUUCCUGGAGGUCCCA